rnacentral:siRNA from 1 species
UGUCUAAUUGUUAAAGCAAUGUG